CAUAAACACAGCUUGUGGGCUUCCCUUGCUGUCUCCUUUCUUGGCAUUUAAGACGUACACCUGCCUGCAUUUCAGAUCUUUCUGGCAGGCUCAGGAACACCAGCAGGCUCUUUGCAGCCAUGGGCUGCAUUGAGAAAGUGCAAGAAAACCAAGUGAGGCUCUUGGGCUCUUAGCUCCUCGGCCAGCGUCUCCAGAGUGGCUCGGUUCUGCUCAGCAAGGGGGAGUGUGCACAGCCCAACACACGGGAACCCAGGAGGGGAGCAGGCCAGAAACCCCCACUGAGGGCUGCUGCUGCUUUGAGAAUAGCAACCAUAGCCUCAGGAUCUCCAGCGUUCAGCUCUCAUUUCCUGUGACUUCCGAAUGGGCACUUCGAGAAAACCUACCUGGUGUCUUUUAUAACUUGGGUCCUGAUGGCCCUUGGCAUUUCUUCAUCUGGGAUUGUGAACCCCCGUGGGCCAUGGCUAUGCCCCGCUCCAUGUGACAUACUCUGUGAAGGUCACUGGAUGAAGUUAAACCCAGAAGCCAAGUGCUUUCACUCCAUGCGGUCCAGCCACCUGCAUCACUUAGCUCAUCUUCACAAUGACAGGCUGGGCGGCAUCAUCAUCCCCACCAUGCAGAAGAAGAAACUGAGGCUCGGAGGCAGCUUAGCGACAGAUUCGUAGAACUGCCCAGGACUGCACAGUCUUCUGUGCAAUGUGAUUUACCCAGUUUUCUUACGUUUAUGCCCUCUUUUUGCUUUCUCUAUGAAUACACAAGAUUAAAAAAAAAUCUUUAAGACAAAAUU
rnacentral:lncRNA from 1 species